UCCAGGCACGGGUCCCAAGCACUACCCGCCGUCGUCGUCCUACACGACAUACUCUACCGAGUCACACGUACCAAUAUCGACUCCUAUGCACCUAGUGCGAGUCACCAGUCCCACGAGUGAUCCAUGGCACGCUUCACACCUAGCAAUGCUCAAGUGCUACUGCCAAUACACUCUCUCGGCUGAACCCACAUCCGCACUCUACGGGUAUCUACACUCGAGCGCUCUACUCCUCUACAGCGUUUCACAC
rnacentral:lncRNA from 1 species